rnacentral:lncRNA from 1 species
CUCCCAGCACCCCUCACCCAACACACAUAUACCCAGCUCCUCUUUCUCUCUCCUGGACUUUCUCUUGUCCCUCCAAGCUCCUCCUCUACUUUCCAUCCAGCACUUCCAGUGGGGACCCAGGGAGAGAAGGCUGACUAACUGGUUUGGCCAGCUAUCAGCAGGCAGAGAGGAAAUCUGGCUAAGGAUGCUGCUUGUGCCUGUUUCUGCAGGACUCAGGUGAAACCAUUCUGGAAAUCCCCUUCUGCAUGCUUCUGAGCAUUCUGGUGACUGUGAGACAACAUAAUACUGUGUUUGAAAGAUGAGAGGCUUUCUUCCCUUCCUCGUGGCUUUCAGCACUAGAGAUUUCCUGCCAUGCAUGCUGAGACAGCUGAGACACAAACCCACGCUCACCCUCCCCAUGCUGCCUUUCGAUACUUCUGUUGGAUUUACAGCUGAAUGAAGCGUCUGUGUGCAGACUGUGAUGUGGGAGGGGAAGGAGAUGCCUUAAGAAGUGUCUUCAAUGCUGGAGGGGGAAAAAAAGACAGAAUUAACAAACCAGAGUGAUUCAGCAAGUUACAUCAUUGUCGCAGGACACACCAGAUUGCAACAACGAAACAGUAUGGUCCUAUAAAAACUGGUGCUCUUUUUGUCCAGAAAUUGUGUUGGCUUGCUGUGUCCUGUUGCUAACUAAGAAUAAAGAGUGG